UGAAGGCUCCACGCUUGACAUCUUUGAGACUCCUGUGGAAUCUGAGUUUACAACUGACUUGGGUGAAGUGGCGCAAGGUCUCGGUUGCAAACUUGCCAUGCAAUUUGCAUUUGAUAAUGGUAGAUUCACCAUUUCCAUUUCAUGAACUCCAGGCCAUGUGAAUAGUUAUACUUCAUAAUGGUUGAUGAGACCUCUUGGUACUUAGAUAGCGUCCAAUAAUUGUGGCGACAAAUUUGAAAUUUAUGCAUCAAAGGCUAAAAUUAUAUAUUAAAUAAGAUUGUUAGAAAGAUCUGGUUAAGGGGAGGCUCACAAGUGCUACAAAAGUUGAGGUCAGCAA
rnacentral:misc_RNA from 1 species